rnacentral:lncRNA from 1 species
UUGGCAUCCAAGAGAGGCUCUCCCUCAAAUGGCUCGCAGUCUUCAAUCAUCUGAUUCACCCGUUCCUUCUGGGCUGCAUCUGAGAGGUCGACCUUCUUCCACUCGUAGAGUUCCAUGUCAUAGCACUCGUCAAUCACAAAUUGAGGAAUCUCUUGCCCACGGAAAAGCCAUAGUCCUUUCACCUUGAAUGGAGGGUUAGCACCGAUCACCAACAUCUUCCCAAAUGCAUACUUGCGGGCCAAAUCCAUUCUCUGCAGG